UGUGUGUUUGCAUAUGUGUCCUGCCUCUCUGCUCCCAGCCGUUAAGAGGCCAGUGUUGAUCAGUGGCUGUCCAGGCCUUUCACAGCCACUGACACGCCGGCAGCACAAUGAUGAUGUCACUGACUCUACUGCUGGCCACCCUGGGGCUCCUUGUUCAGGGUUCAUCAGGAGAAAUCAUCCUGACUCAGUCUCCUGGAUCUCAGUCUGUUCUUCCAGGACAGUCUGUCUCCAUCACAUGUAGAUCCAGUCAACUCAUUGGUGAUGACAUAGACUGGUACCUUCAGAAACCUGAAAAUGCUCCUAAACUUCUGAUCGCUGAUACUACAUCUCGUCAGUCUGGAGUUUCUGAUCGUUUCAGUGCAACAGCGCGACAGACUACCUUCACUUUGACCAUCAGUAGAGUUCAGACUGAAGAUUCAGGAGUUUAUUAUUGUCAGCAACAUAACAGCUUCCCGUUCACACAGUGAAAAACCGUCGUACAAAAACC